rnacentral:rRNA from 1 species
CUCCCAAACCCCUGUGAACAUACCAAUUGUUGCCUCGGCGGAUCAGCCCGCUCCCGGUAAAACGGGACGGCCCGCCAGAGGACCCCUAAACUCUGUUUCUAUAUGUAACUUCUGAGUAAAACCAUAAAUAAAUCAAAACUUUCAACAACGGAUCUCUUGGUUCUGGCAUCGAUGAAGAACGCAGCAAAAUGCGAUAAGUAAUGUGAAUUGCAGAAUUCAGUGAAUCAUCGAAUCUUUGAACGCACAUUGCGCCCGCCAGUAUUCUGGCGGGCAUGCCUGUUCGAGCGUCAUUUCAACCCUCAAGCCCCCGGGUUUGGUGUUGGGGAUCGGCGAGCCCUUGCGGCAAGCCGGCCCCGAAAUCUAGUGGCGGUCUCGCUGCAGCUUCCAUUGCGUAGUAGUAAAACCCUCGCAACUGGUACGCGGCGCGGCCAAGCCGUUAAACCCCCAACUUCUGAAUGUUGACCUCGGAUCAGGUAGGAAUACCCGCUGAACUUAAGCAUAUC